rnacentral:lncRNA from 1 species
CCUAGAGAUGUCACUGCUUGCAGAACAGCGGCCCCUGGUGGACUGCAGGUGAAGUCCGAGAGCGCAACAGCACAAACGUUUGCCACACCAUCUUGUUUGAGAAAGGUACUUAGGACAACAGAUUUUACCACUCUGAGGGCAGAAGUGAGCAAAAAUUGUCCCAGUCCUUGGGAACCCUGGGAAUUCUUCUAGAGCUGUGCUCUUGCCUUCUCAAUGGCUGGUCAAGAC